UACGGGGGGAGCAAGCGUUGUUCGGAUUUACUGGGCGUAAAGGGCGCGUAGGCGGUCAGCACAAGUCAGUUGUGAAAUCUCCGGGCUUAACCCGGAAAGGUCAACUGAUAUUGCGGGGCUAGAGUGCGGAAGGGGCAACUGGAAUUCUCGGUGUAGCGGUGAAAUGCGUAGAUAUCGAGAGGAACACCUGCGGCGAAGGCGGGUUGCUGGGCCGACACUGACGCUGAUGCGCGAAAGCCAGGGGAGCGAACGGG
rnacentral:rRNA from 1 species